GCCUUUCUGUGGCACAGUUGGUAGAGCGUUGUGCUCACAAGGCAAAGGUUCUGGGUUCAAAUUCCAGGGAAAGCA